GUCGAGCGAACGGAUAAGGAGCUUGCUCCUUUGAAGUUAGCGGCGGACGGGUGAGUAACACGUGGGUAACCUACCUAUAAGACUGGAAUAACUUCGGGAAACCGGAGCUAAUGCCGGAUAACAUUUGGAACCGCAUGGUUCUAAAGUAAAAGAUGGUUUUGCUAUCACUUAUAGAUGGACCCGCGCCGUAUUAGCUAGUUGGUAAGGUAACGGCUUACCAAGGCAACGAUACGUAGCCGACCUGAGAGGGUGAUCGGCCACACUGGAACUGAGACACGGUCCAGACUCCUACGGGAGGCAGCAGUAGGGAAUCUUCCGCAAUGGACGAAAGUCUGACGGAGCAACGCCGCGUGAGUGAUGAAGGUUUUCGGAUCGUAAAACUCUGUUAUUAGGGAAGAACAAAUGUGUAAGUAACUGUGCACAUCUUGACGGUACCUAAUCAGAAAGCCACGGCUAACUACGUGCCAGCAGCCGCGGUAAUACGUAGGUGGCAAGCGUUAUCCGGAAUUAUUGGGCGUAAAGCGCGCGUAGGCGGUUUCUUAAGUCUGAUGUGAAAGCCCACGGCUCAACCGUGGAGGGUCAUUGGAAACUGGGAAACUUGAGUACAGAAGAGGAAAGUGGAAUUCCAUGUGUAGCGGUGAAAUGCGCAGAGAUAUGGAGGAACACCAGUGGCGAAGGCGACUUUCUG
rnacentral:rRNA from 1 species